rfam:Schistosoma mansoni, Puerto Rico, WGS project CABG01000000 data, contig: 0236
AUCAAGCUGACCAGUCCUACAUAGGACAAAACGCGCAUCCUGGAU